UAAUACGCAUUCUAAUGAAUUUAAAGAGAGUGCCCUUACCUUAGCUUGUUACAAAGGACACUUAGAGAUGGUGCGAUUUCUUUUGGAAGCAGGCGCGGAUCAAGAGCAUAAAACAGAUGAAAUGCACACUGCUCUGAUGGAGGCUUGCAUGGAUGGCCAUGUUGAAGUAGCUAGGUUACUUCUUGACAGCGGUGCCCAAGUGAACAUGCCUGCUGAUUCAUUUGAGUCACCAUUAACUUUGGCUGCAUGUGGUGGGCAUGUGGAACUUGCGGCUUUACUUAUUGAAAGAGGAGCUAGCCUGGAAGAGGUCAAUGAUGAAGGUUAUACACCAUUGAUGGAAGCAGCUCGAGAAGGACAUGAAGAAAUGGUGGCAUUACUUCUUGGUCAAGGAGCUAACGUUCAUGCAACAACAGCAACAGGGGAUACAGCACUAACAUAUGCCUGUGAAAAUGGUCAUACUGAUGUAGCAGAUGUCUUACUUCAGGCAGGCGCAGAUCUGGAACAUGAAUCUGAAGGUGGAAGAACUCCUUUAAUGAAAGCUGCAAGAGCUGGUCAUGUUUGUACUGUUCAGUUCUUAAUUAGUAAAGGAGCGAAUGUGAAUAGAACCACAGCUAAUAAUGACCAUACUGUACUGUCCCUGGCUUGUGCAGGGGGUCAUCUGGCAGUGGUGGAACUACUUUUGGCUCAUGGGGCAGAUCCUACUCACCGUUUGAAAGAUGGCUCAACUAUGUUGAUAGAAGCAGCAAAAGGUGGCCAUACAAGUGUUGUUUGCUAUCUCUUGGAUUAUCCUAAUAACUUGCUUUCAGCCCCUCCACCAGAUGUCACUCAGUUAACUCCCCCAUCCCACGAUUUAAAUAGGGCUCCUCGUGUACCAGUUCAAGCACUGCCCAUGGUUGUUCCACCUCAGGAGCCUGACAAACCACCUGCCAAUGUUGCCACCACUCUUCCCAUCAGGAAUAAAGCUGCUUCUAAACAAAAGUCCAGCAGCCAUUUGCCAGCAAACAGCCAGGAUGUACAGGGUUACAUCACCAAUCAGUCUCCAGAGAGCAUUGUAGAAGAGGCUCAGGGAAAGUUAACAGAACUGGAACAGAGGAUAAAAGAAGCCAUAGAAAAGAAUGCACAGCUGCAGUCCUUGGAACUGGCUCAUGCUGACCAACUUACCAAGGAGAAGAUCGAGGAGCUCAACAAAACAAGGGAGGAACAAAUUCAGAAGAAACAAAAGAUUUUGGAGGAACUACAGAAAGUAGAACGAGAGUUACAACUGAAAACUCAGCAGCAGCUAAAAAAGCAGUAUCUAGAGGUUAAAGCUCAAAGAAUUCAACUUCAGCAACAGCAGCAACAGUCUUGCCAACACCUGGGAUUACUAACUCCUGUUGGAGUUGGAGAGCAGCUUUCUGAGGGAGACUAUGCACGGUUACAGCAAGUGGAUCCUGUUUUACUUAAAGAUGAACCCCAGCAGACUGCUGCUCAGAUGGGUUUUGCACCAAUCCAGCCUCUGGCGAUGCCUCAAGCUUUGCCUCUGGCGGCAGGUCCCUUGCCUCCAGGGUCCAUCGCAAAUCUUACAGAACUGCAAGGAGUGAUAGUUGGACAGCCAGUACUGGGCCAAGCACAGUUGGCAGGGCUGGGGCAAGGAAUUCUGACAGAAACACAACAAGGGUUAAUGGUAGCCAGCCCUGCUCAGACCCUCAAUGACACGCUGGAUGACAUCAUGGCAGCAGUCAGUGGAAGAGCAUCUGCAAUGUCAAACACUCCUACCCACAGUAUUGCUGCAUCCAUUUCCCAACCUCAGACUCCAACUCCAAGUCCUAUCAUCUCUCCUUCAGCCAUGCUUCCUAUCUACCCUGCCAUUGAUAUUGAUGCACAGACUGAGAGUAAUCAUGACACGGCGCUAACACUUGCCUGUGCUGGUGGCCACGAGGAACUGGUACAAACACUGCUAGAGAGAGGAGCUAGUAUAGAGCACCGAGACAAGAAAGGUUUUACUCCACUCAUCUUGGCUGCCACAGCUGGUCAUGUUGGUGUUGUGGAAAUAUUGCUGGACAAUGGUGCAGACAUUGAAGCCCAGUCUGAAAGAACCAAGGACACACCACUCUCCUUGGCUUGUUCUGGGGGAAGACAGGAGGUGGUGGAGCUAUUGUUAGCUCGAGGGGCAAAUAAAGAGCACAGGAAUGUUUCUGAUUACACACCUCUAAGUCUGGCUGCUUCUGGUGGCUAUGUGAACAUCAUCAAAAUAUUACUAAAUGCAGGAGCUGAGAUUAACUCUAGAACUGGUAGCAAAUUGGGCAUCUCUCCUCUGAUGUUAGCAGCUAUGAAUGGGCAUACAGCUGCUGUUAAGCUCCUGUUAGACAUGGGCUCUGACAUAAAUGCUCAGAUAGAAACCAAUCGGAACACUGCCCUUACUUUAGCCUGCUUCCAAGGAAGAACUGAAGUGGUUAGUCUUCUGCUUGAUAGAAAAGCAAAUGUUGAACACAGAGCUAAGACUGGUCUCACACCACUAAUGGAAGCUGCUUCUGGUGGAUAUGCGGAGGUGGGCCGAGUUCUUUUGGAUAAAGGUGCUGAUGUUAAUGCCCCUCCAGUUCCCUCCUCAAGAGAUACAGCUUUAACCAUAGCAGCAGAUAAAGGGCAUUACAAAUUCUGUGAGCUUCUUAUUGGCAGGGGAGCUCAUAUUGAUGUACGUAACAAGAAGGGGAACACUCCAUUGUGGCUAGCAGCAAAUGGUGGACACCUCGAUGUGGUUCAGUUACUGGUGCAAGCAGGUGCAGAUGUGGAUGCAGCAGAUAACCGCAAGAUAACUCCUCUUAUGGCAGCAUUUAGAAAGGGUCAUGUGAAGGUGGUGCGCUACUUAGUCAAAGAAGUCAAUCAGUUUCCAUCAGAUUCUGAAUGUAUGAGAUACAUAGCAACCAUCACUGAUAAGGAGAUGCUGAAGAAGUGUCAUCUUUGUAUGGAGUCAAUAGUACAAGCCAAAGAUAGACAGGCUGCUGAAGCAAACAAAAACGCCAGCAUUUUGUUAGAGGAGUUAGACUUGGAAAAGGCAGACUACAACAUCAUUCCCAUCUAUUCCCAUGGGGAGUAAAAUACACCAAAACAGCAUAUAGUUUGGACAGUCUUAUAGCUUCUUCACUUCCCUUUUCUGCCACAUUUUCCCCUAUAAUUCUGUACUCUAGAACUUAAUUGAAUAGUAAUCAUAGGAAAAUAAUUGGUUUGGCAUUGAAUAUUAUGGAACUGCCAUAUCUCAUCUUUUAUAAAAAGGUCAGUGGCU
rnacentral:sRNA from 1 species